UAGGUGAACCUGCGGAAGGAUCAUUACCGAGUUGAUUCGAGCUCCGGCUCGACUCUCCCACCCAAUGUGUACCUACCUCUGUUGCUUUGGCGGGCCGCGGUCCUCCGCACCGGCGCCCUUCGGGGGGCUGGCCAGCGCCCGCCAGAGGACCAUAAAACUCCAGUCAGUGAACUUCGCAGUCUGAAAAACAAGUUAAUAAACUAAAACUUUCAACAACGGAUCUCUUGGUUCUGGCAUCGAUGAAGAACGCAGCGAAAUGCGAUAAGUAAUGUGAAUUGCAGAAUUCAGUGAAUCAUCGAAUCUUUGAACGCACAUUGCGCCCCUUGGUAUUCCGAGGGGCAUGCCUGUUCGAGCGUCAUUUCAACCCUCAAGCUCUGCUUGGUAUUGGGCUUCGUCCUCCACGGACGCGCCUUAAAGACCUCGGCGGUGGCGUCUUGCCUCAAGCGUAGUAGAAAACACCUCGCUUUGGAGCGCACGGCGUCGCCCGCCGGACGAACCUUUGAAUUAUUUCUCAAGGUUGACCUCGGAUCAGGUAGGGAUACCCGCUGAACUUAAGCAUAUCAAUAAGCGGAGGA
rnacentral:rRNA from 1 species